GCACAUAGCAAUUGUCAGGAUAUAACGGAAGACUCCAGUACACCUAUCGUCACUGUGUAUGACAUCAUUGACUUAAGCCUACUUGAAUUGGAGAACCCAAAUGAAGAUGUAAACUUUACCUUUAGUAGGUGUAUGUUGGCCGCUACUUGGUCAAGAGAUGGAUUCACUGGAGUUCCCGUAGAAAGGUAUGAAUGGAGUGCAGGUGAUUUUUCAUCAACAUCAAAACAACCGAAAGGAAUCUUCAAUGCAGCAGUCGACCAAGUCUGGUUUGAUGUCGGCCAAGAAACAUCAGCUGUUCUUAUGCUUGAUGACGGUAAACUGCGCAUGUUUAUGUCGUAUUU